rnacentral:sRNA from 1 species
CUUGAAUGCAGUUGAUCAAGUUGCUGUUAGCAUGUAAAAUAAGUUUCUUUGUUUUGCUGAUAGUCUAGUUCUCCAAAGAGCUUUUUCAAUCUUUAUCAAUCUUUAAAGUUAAAUAGCUUUCCUAAUAGUCCUUUGAAAGGAUGAUUGUAUUUAUAUGGUAAUGAAGCUCAGGUACCUGACAAUGAUGAGCAGUUUGUACCAGACUAUCAGGCUGAAAGUUUGGCUUUUCAUGGCCUACCACUGAAAAUCAAGAAAGAACCCCACAGUCCAUGUUCAGAAAUCGGCUCUGCCUGCAGUCAAGAACAGCCCUUUAAAUUCAGCUAUGGAGAAAAGUGCCUGUACAAUGUCAGUGCCUAUGAUCAGAAGCCACAAGUGGGAAUGAGGCCCUCCAACCCCCCCACACCAUCCAGCACGCCAGUGUCCCCACUGCAUCAUGCAUCUCCAAACUCAACUCAUACACCGAAACCUGACCGGGCCUUCCCAGCUCACCUCCCUCCAUCGCAGUCCAUACCAGAUAGCAGCUACCCCAUGGACCACAGAUUUCGCCGCCAGCUUUCUGAACCCUGUAACUCCUUUCCUCCUUUGCCGACGAUGCCAAGGGAAGGACGUCCUAUGUACCAACGCCAGAUGUCUGAGCCAAACAUCCCCUUCCCACCACAAGGCUUUAAGCAGGAGUACCACGACCCAGUGUAUGAACACAACACCAUGGUUGGCAGUGCGGCCAGCCAAAGCUUUCCCCCUCCUCUGAUGAUUAAACAGGAACCCAGAGAUUUUGCAUAUGACUCAGAAGUGCCUAGCUGCCACUCCAUUUAUAUGAGGCAAGAAGGCUUCCUGGCUCAUCCCAGCAG